GAUUUUAUUAAAAUUAAAACAUGUACUAAAAUUGAAAAGAUAAAGAGAAGAUCAGAAUGACUCCUACCCAAAGAUGACACGCAAAAUCGUGAAACGUUCCUUAUUUUU